rnacentral:snoRNA from 1 species
GCCUCCUACAAAGGCGUGCCUGUACUUUUCUGUGUGUGGGUGCGUAAGAACCGGAGGUAGAUCAAUUGGGGCAGAAUCUGUUCUGUACAGGGCAGGUAAUUAUGCUGCCUUGUUCCCAGGUUUUCUGUCCAACAGGA